rnacentral:rRNA from 1 species
GCUAAACUUCUUCAGAAAUACACUAUUGACGGAAAUGUUAGGCAGCACAUAUUGAGGGUGGUAAAUACUUUCACCAAGCUUAAGGCUUUGGAGUGUUCUUUAAGUGAAGCCCUUCUUGUCAUAAUUAUUCUUGAGUCUCUUCCUGAAGAGUUUGAACAAUUUAAGGUCAACUAUAACUCUCUAAGGGAAAAAUGGCCACUCUCUAAGAUGACCGCAAGGAUCGUCCAGGAGGAAGAAAGGAUCAUGAGGCAGAAGAAAGACCAUGUCUUUCAUGUUGGCUCUAACAAGAGAAAGCAUGACGGACAAGGUUUCCCUAAGCCUCAGAAAAGGCAAGUCAAGAAAGAAGGCACUAAGCCAUUCAACCCUAAGGCAUUCAAGGGUAAAGAAGCCGGUGGUUCUUCUUCUGCUCCUAGCAGCUCCACUGCUGGAGAAAAUGCUUGUAACUUCUGCAAAGAAGAGGGACACUAUCAAAGGGACUGCCCAGGCUUUCUAAAAUGGAUGAACAAAAGAGGGAUUCGAUACGAUCCAAACCAU